GACGAACGCUGGCGGCGUGCCUAAUACAUGCAAGUCGAGCGGACUAAUGGGAGCUUGCUCCCAUUAGUUAGCGGCGGACGGGUGAGUAACACGUGGGCAACCUACCUGUAAGACUGGGAUAACUUCGGGAAACCGGAGCUAAUACCGGAUGACAUAAAGGAACUCCUGUUCCUUUAUUGAAAGAUGGCUUCGGCUAUCACUUACAGAUGGGCCCGCGGCGCAUUAGCUAGUUGGUGAGGUAACGGCUCACCAAGGCGACGAUGCGUAGCCCACCUGAGAGGGUGAUCGGCCACACUGGGACUGAGACACGGCCCAGACGCCUACGGGAGGCAGCAGUAGGGAAUCUUCCGCAAUGGACGAAAGUCUGACGGAGCAACGCCGCGUGAGCGAUGAAGGCCUUCGGGUCGUAAAGCUCUGUUGUUAGGGAAGAAUAAGUGCUAGUUGAAUAAGUUGGCACCUUGACGGUACCUAACCAGAAAGCCACGGCUAACUACGUGCCAGCCGCCGCAGUAAAAC
rnacentral:rRNA from 1 species